AACGAACGCUGGCGGCAUGCCUAACACAUGCAAGUCGAACGAGACCUUCGGGUCUAGUGGCGCACGGGUGCGUAACGCGUGGGAACCUGCCUUUAGGUUCGGAAUAACUCAGAGAAAUUUGAGCUAAUACCGGAUGAUGUCUUCGGACCAAAGAUUUAUCGCCUUUAGAUGGGCCCGCGUUGGAUUAGCUAGUUGGUGGGGUAAAGGCCUACCAAGGCGACGAUCCAUAGCUGGUCUGAGAGGAUGAUCAGCCACACUGGGACUGAGACACGGCCCAGACUCCUACGGGAGGCAGCAGUGGGGAAUAUUGGACAAUGGGCGAAAGCCUGAUCCAGCAAUGCCGCGUGAGUGAUGGAGGCCUUAGGGUUGUAAAGCUCUUUUACCCGAGAUGAUAAUGACAGUAUCGGGAGAAUAAGCUCCGGCUAACUCCGUG
rnacentral:rRNA from 1 species